rnacentral:tRNA from 1 species
GCGCCUAUAGCUCAGCUGGAUAGAGCAACGGCCUUCUAAGCCGUAGGUCGCAGGUUCGAAUCCUGCUGGGCGCGCCA